ACGAACUUAACCAUUAGUUUACUAUUGGAGCGGUUAGUGGCGGACUGGUGAGUAACACGGUAAGCAACCUGCCUAUCAGAGGGGAACAACAGUUAGAAAUGACUGCUAAUACCGCAUAUGCCUUAGAAUCACAUGGUUCAAAAGGGAAAGGAGCAAUCCGCUGAUAGAUGGGCUUGCGUCUGAUUAGCUAGUUGGUGGGGUAAUGGCCUACCAAGGCAACGAUCAGUAGCCGAACUGAGAGGUUGAACGGCCACAUUGGGACUGAGAUACGGCCCAGACUCCUACGGGAGGCAGCAGUCGGGAAUAUUGCGCAAUGGAGGAAACUCUGACGCAGUGACGCCGCGUGCAGGAAGAAGGUUUUCGGAUUGUAAACUGCUUUAGACAGGGAAGAACAAAGACAGUACCUGUAGAAUAAGCUCCGGCUAACUACGUGCCAGCAGCCGCGGUAAUACGUAGGGAGCGAGCGUUAUCCGGAUUUAUUGGGUGUAAAGGGUGCGUAGACGGGAAGUCAAGUUAGUUGUGAA
rnacentral:rRNA from 1 species